rnacentral:misc_RNA from 1 species
AGCCACCCCCACUACCUUCGUUUCAAGACCUGUAUGUAAGACCGUGCCCUCGCCACAACGGACUACGGUUCAAACUCUCAUAUAGUAAUUGUGUCGCAGUAUAGGCAGUAUAGGGAUGGUGCAGAGUCGAUAGAGGGCAGGUCGAAAGUACUCGUGGCGCCUCUAAUGUCAUAAAUUGUAAGCUUUUGGGGGUAGCAGCGGCGCGGUAGUCUACUUGCACACCAUCCCUAUAUCAUUAUUAUUUAAAUACUCCCCGUUUCAGGUGAUGAAUUGAAAAUUAAAAGGAUGGAAUAAUUCUUUUUCAUAAUUGCAGAUAAUUCGAUAUUGAGUUCAUGAGACGUUUUAUUCAUUCAUACAUUCGAAUAAAAAUCUGUAUCUGUGAGGAAUAAAAAAAGAAUUUAUUAAUUACAAUAUAAAUAAAUUAUAUUUGCACAACCAAAUAACAACAUAUAUAAACGUAGACAAAUAAACGGAGAGAUAAAAUGAUCACAAUAAGGGAUUUUAUUUUAUACACAAUUGUAAAAAAAUCUAUAAAACUGAUGAGUGUGGAAGGUGUAUGUAUAUUAGGUGUAUAUAUCGUAGCAAGCUCGCGAUUAGUAUGUUUUGAUUCAGGUAUCGCUAUGGUAACUAUAUAUCCAGCAGAUUCUGAUCCACAGUAUUUCUGAACUUUUGAGCUUGUAACACGGGGACGUUCCAUAUAAUCCACUUUUUCGAAAAGUUGAGAAAUUCGUAAAGCUUUUUUUUUCAAUAUUGACGUUUGAUUAAUGUGAUUCAGAUUAAUAAAUUAAAAAAAAAAAUGACGAAUCGUGAGGAUAGCGCGUGGGUAUUCGAUUCGCUCGUAGGAUUCUUGCAAGGGCCUAUUUGGUCCGCACCUCUGCUUACCUUCAUUGAAGAAAAAUCACUCAUUUUUGAAGCAGACACCGAAGACAGCAAAGAGUACCGCGAGGUCUACCAAGAGUAUAAGAAUUUGGUGGACCUUUUGCUCGGUUGUUAUAUGGAAGACAUAGGCAUUACGCCUGAGCAAUUUGAGCACGCUUGCACCGUAAAUAAAAACACGAAAUUACCGAUCCAGUUUCAGCAAUGCCUAUUUGAACAAAUUUGGGCGGCGAAUGAGUAUGACAUAUUCAAACGAAUGAUGAUACAAAAAAAUCUGGAGCUUCAGUUACAAGCGCUGAAUAUGAUUGAGCAAAAAUAUGGGUUGACUCCGGCAUCGCUUAUGUGCGACGGGGACGCUCUUCCCGACGACGAAUUGGUCAUGGAAGAGAUUCUCCAGAAACAAAUAAUGGAGGAACGGGAAGAAAAGGAGCCCGGAGAAAAUGAUGCUCUAGCGUUUGAAGAAGAGCACGAAAGACUGGCCUCGAAAUAUCACAGCGAAAAAGUUUUAUUGGAACAAGCUCUGAAGGCUUCGACGAGUUCAUAUCCGAGGACGUUCUCACCGGAAGCAAAACAACCGAAUAUGAUGAUAGAGGAGAGCACGGAGAACACGGAAAUUGCUGAAUCGUCGAAAUCAAAAACUGAGGAAAAUCGUGAAUUCAAUGAAUUAACGCCCCUCGAACCUACAAUCGUGGCUCCUAGUAAAAAACGACGUGUGAAAAAUGUUGUAAUUUCGGAAGGUUCUCCGGUUAAGUCGAUGGACGAGAGCCCGGAAGACAUGAAGAAACGAGAAGAAUAUCUGAAAGCGCGUCGUGACAAGCUUGUAGCGAUGAAAAAAGAAGCGCGCAGUCAAAGACUCGAGAUGACGAAAGCAAGGCCUGGUUCCGCAAAAAUAGCGGCCGAAGCGAGUAUUCGCGGUACCCAGAAUUACGAAGCAUCCCAAAUACCGGAACCAUCGAUUAUUCAAGUACGGAGAGCUCUGGCUGCGCGUUUAAAAGCCGAAGUCGGAAGAGAGUCAUACUUCCUCGUGUUAUAAGAGGGCACAGUCCAUUAUUCUCCAUGGAAAAGUGAGAAGCGGACCAAAUGGAUCAAAAGUCAAAAAAUAUCAUCAGAAAAAUUGCCCAUUCAGACACGAGAGAGCGCGCUCAUCGACGGUAGUGCUGCUCUCUAUAGCUAUAGCUCACGCACGGUCCCUGGUCCCUGUCGGCGGGCCCGGUUUGACAUGUUUGACACCUUACCGAAAUCUCGAACAGGAAAUCUGACUCGAGUGGGAGUAGCGACGACCCAUGCAAAUCGCAAUAAUAAUGUUCGAAUAAGCUGUGCUAUAAACUCUUGAUAUACCGAACCCCUGUGUCUCCUGUGUACUGGCAAAGUGAGAUUAUAAGUGAGUUUAAAUAUGUGAUAAAUGAGAACUUUUUCCAAAAUAAUGAAAUUUCCACUUGAAAUUGUCUUUCUGAUGCUAAUUAUCACUGAACAGUGCUGGAGAAUAUAUUCCAUUUUAAUAAACGCCAGCCGGUUUAUUAUCGAAGAGAAACGGAACAGUUUGAAUUACUAGAUCAUAUUUAUAUAAAAUAUGUAAAGAUAUAAAAUAAAAGGAACUGCAAAAAGUUUGCAGCGACGA